AAAUAUCAGUUUACAAAAGCUCCCUUAUUUUGAAGACUCCAUGUUCACAAGUAUGCGGAAGCCCCUUUGGCAGUCAGCAUACUCUGACAUCAUAAGUCACAUGACCGGAACCUGCGUGACGUCGAGUUAUUUUGCUUAAACAUCAAUAAUAACCGAACAACGAAGAAGAAGAAGCGAAAAGGACGGAAAAUACAAAGAAAAAAUGAUGUAGCCUAUCAUUGUGAUAAGCUGAAAUAUUGAAGUACCUUGACAAGAUGUUUUGCAGAGGUGGAUCGACAAUUAUAAAAAGAAGCUGAAGAGGGGAGAGCAUUCCAGUGAACCCAGAGUUAAACUUGAAAAAGGGCUAAGAGAGACAUCGAUGUGUUCGACAGUGAGAACUUAUCAAAACAAGAGGGCAACACUAACAAAGAGAAGGUGCAGGCUUUACACAGGACCUGGAGGAGCAGCACAGCCGAGGAACAGGAGCGGAGCUCUGAAACAACGAGGAAAAUGACCCCUCCACAGCGACCUGCAGACCACAGUCCUGAUCAAAAGAAGAGCCUCUACAAGGACACCUUAAAGAAUAUUGCACAACAGGUCAUCUGUGUGGUCAGCUUAUACAAGAGAUGGGCAACUCUAGUCCUCAAAUUUGCAGCUUUCGUUCGUGUUCUACCUCAGUUAUCAAGCUCGUAAAUGCGAGUUGUCUUUUUUGUCCUUAUGUUUCUACCACUUGCUAAUCAGAAAAUAAAACAAAGAUUCCAGCCCCUCAAAGACUGAAAGAGCCAGUUCUUUAUUUGCACCAAACAAGCAAUCGAAAACUCAGAAUUAAAAUCAAAUGUUACUGUCACACUCUGAUGAGAUGUUCUAUCUUAAAUAGGUGUCAAUCCUACAAGAAUUAGGAAGAAGGGGGUCAUAGUUCUC